AACAGGUUAGAUAUGCAAUAUUAUAACCUCUCAGGUUCACCUCCUAUUGCAAUUAUGUGACAUGCAAACAUAUUCAUGAUGUACAUAAUUAAGUGUAUCUUUGAUAGAAAAGUAUGAUUGUCUCUUUCUUUAAGUGUUUCAGAAAUGAGUUCUAAAAAACAAUUCAUAGUUUUGUUAAAUAUCUUUAUGAUAAUGAUUAUCAAAAAUUACAAUGUUAUUAAAUUUCGAAUAUUUUACAUAAGUAGGUUAAUAUUACAUUUUCAACAGAGAUAUAGGAACCACUAUAUUUUGAAAAAAAACCACAUCUUUAAAAUUUGUAUAUCUCCUCAAUCAUAUGAACCACUAUAUUUGAAAUCUAUAUUUAUCAAAAAAAAAAUUCUUUUAAAGGUUCGAUUUUGAUUUUUUUGGUUUUAUAGAUAUAGGAACCGCUAAGUUAUUUGUGAAUAUCAAUCUAUUUUUGAGUUUUUUUUUUUUUUGCUUUGGUUAUGAUUCACAGUUGGUUCUUGGUUUAUAGUUCCAUGUCUAACAAGGAUGCUAAAUUUUUUAUUUUUUCUUUAGUUAUAAUUUUCACAAUAUCACGUCAUAAAACGGGUUAUAACAUAUAAAUAUAAAUAAAGCUUUGCAGUAUAUAUUCCAAAUAUUUUCCAAACUCAAAUGGUAUUUAGGACAUAUCAGUUCAGGUAUUUAUGACUCAAAAAAUUCAAAAUAUCCAAAAAUCUGAAAAAUACUCGAAACACAAAAAUAUACUUGAAACUCCAAACAAAUAUCCGAAAUAUUUA
rnacentral:lncRNA from 1 species